ACCACCAAUGACAAGAUAUAUGUUUUUCAAAGAAGCUACGGAUUUCGUGUGGCGGGGAUAGAAACAAAGUGCAUUUAUAACCAAAAGAUAUCUAUAAAUACAACAAACGCCAUUCUUCAACAAAGCUACAAGGAUAACAGAGGAACGGCGUACUACGUACUAGAGGCUACAUUGUCAAGAGCGGAUCUUGCCGACAGUGCUCCCAUUCUGCACGCCGUAGCAAAAGCGAAAUAUAAGAGGGACUAUUAUUUCCAGUACUACGACGCUCAUAGAAAGUGUGCUGUUUUUACAUUCGACCAUGGACUGGGAAUACCCAAAUGCGAAAUUCACAUCUGGAAGAAGAUGGUGGGCAGAGGACCGUCGCAAAAUUGCAGAAGGGAGUACGAGUACUUGUGUCCAAGGAAAAGACAUUACGAAGUUUAUGAAAAUACUUGCUUUUAAUAAAUUUGUUCAU